UAGAGUUUGAUCCUGGCUCAGGAUGAACGCUGGCGGCGUGGAUAAGGCAUGCAAGUCGCAAGGGUUAGACCCUUGGCAAACGGGUUAGUAAUACACAGGAACGUACCCAUCACACGGGCAUAACCCCGAGAAAUCGGGGAUAAUUCCCGAUAGUCUCUUCGGAGUAAAGUUUGUGGGCAACCACAGGCGGUGAUGGAGCGGCCUGUGCCCUAUCAGCUUGUUGGUGAGGUAAUGGCUCACCAAGGCUAUGACGGGUAGGGGGUGUGAGAGCACGGCCCCCAACAUUGGGACUGAGACACUGCCCAAACACCUACGGGUGGCUGCAGUCGAGAAUAUUCGGCAAUGGCCUAACGGCUGACCGAGCGACGCCGCGUGGAGGAUGAAGGCCUUCGGGUUGUAAACUCCUUUUCUGGGGGAAGAAUCCGCUUCGGUGGAUGACGGUACUCCAGGAAUAAGAGGUUGCUAACUCUGUGCCAGCCGCCGCGGUAAUUC
rnacentral:rRNA from 1 species